GAUGAACGCUGGCGGCGUGCCUAAUACAUGCAAGUCGAGCGAACAGACGAGGAGCUUGCUCCUCUGACGUUAGCGGCGGACGGGUGAGUAACACGUGGAUAACCUACCUAUAAGACUGGGAUAACUUCGGGAAACCGGAGCUAAUACCGGAUAAUAUAUUGAACCGAAGGGUGCAAUAGUGAAAGACGGUGUUGCUGUCACUUAUAGAUGGAUCCGCGCCGCAUUAGCUAGUUGGUAAGGUAACGGCUUACCAAGGCAACGAUGCGUAGCCGACCUGAGAGGGUGAUCGGCGACACUGGAACUGAGACACGGUCCAGACUCCUACGGGAGGCAGCAGUAGGGAAUCUUCCGCAAUGGGCGAAAGCUUGACGGAGCAACGCCGCGUGAGUGAUGAAGGUCUUCGGAUCGUAAAACUCUGUUAUUAGGGAAGAACAAAUGUGUAAGUAACUAUGCACGUCUUGACGGUACCUAAUCAGAAAGCCACGGCUAACUACGUG
rnacentral:rRNA from 1 species